AAAGAUAAAAAUUGAAGCUGCUAACUUUGAUUAGGGGGAAUUUUCAUUAAUAUUUA
rnacentral:tRNA from 1 species